GCGAAGAGGGACAAAUGGGAGAUGGAGAUGACGUUUUGCGUUUUUUGUAGCUUCGUGUUGUGUUCCGACUACUGUGCUGCCUAUAGACAGGGCCGGCCCAAGAUAUUUGGGAACAUUUAUCAUUGUCUUUAGAGCUGUUUUUGUGUGUAGAUUUAUCUCUAUUUUGCAGUGUUGCACCUCAGGCUAUUUUUUGCGCCUUUUUUAUUUUUUUAAAUUGUGUACUGGCCAGCUGUUGAGAGCAAAAAUUAACUGCCAAAGCUUUAAGAAGAAUCAAAUAUGAAGCUACCAGGAACCCACUGUCCUUCAAUGCUGUCCUAUUCCUGAAAUGCAACCCACCUGGAAUCGCCAGAAGUGCAAGGUGUUCAGUCCUCACAGACAUGGGCAAGUCAUAGAGUCUACUCUACUCUACGAGAGUUCGUUUUGUCUACUAUUGGAGCUGGAGGCGGGACUGGUGGAUCCGCGCACAGAAGGUGUGUGAUUACUGGGCAUCCUUCAGCACUUCCUCUGCAGCUGAAAGGCACUUCCUCUGAUGCUGGUGUUCCUAGCUUAACCUUGUGGGAGAGGAAAAGCAACAAUGACGCUCAUAUCCCAAGCUCAUAUCCAGUCCGCAUAUGCCGUCCUUAUGGAACUUCAGACAAAAAAAACAUCCUUGCAAAAGGGGGGUCACUCCUCCCUCUUCCCCAUAUAUACCUGAAUAGUAAUCCAAUGGAUCAGGAACCGGAUGAUGCGUCACUGAUGCGAAACUGCGCUGUCGUUCUGCUGAUUACGCUCAUGCUUCAUUAAAGUCCGAACAAGAUUUGUAUAUGGACACUGCCUCAAUAAAGUCCAA